rnacentral:rRNA from 1 species
UUGGAGGGCAAGUCUGGUGCCAGCAGCCGCGGUAAUUCCAGCUCCAAUAGCGUAUAUUAAAGUUGUUGCAGUUAAAAAGCUCGUAGUUGAAUUUCGGGGUUAGUAGGUCGGUCAUGCCUCAGGUAUGCACUGGUCUCACUGAUUCCUCCUUCCUGAUGAGCCGUAAUGCCAUUAAUUUGGUGUUGCGGGGAAUCUGGACUGUUACUUUGAAAAAAUUAGAGUGUUUAAAGCAGGCUAACGCUUGAAUACAUUAGCAUGGAAUAAUGGAAUAGGACGUUCGAUCCUAUUUUGUUGGUUUCUAGGAUUGACGUAAUGAUUAAUAGGGAUAGUUGGGGGCAUUAGUAUUCAAUUGUCAGAGGUGAAAUUCUUUGAUUUAUUGAAGACUAACUACUGCGAAAGCAUUUGCCAAGGAUGUUUUCAUUAAUCAAGAACGAAAGUUAGGGGAUCGAAGACGAUCAGAUACCGUCGUAGUCUUAACCAUAAACUAUGCCGACUAGGGAUCGGAUGAUGUUAAUUUUUUAAUGACUCAUUCGGCGCCUUACGGGAAAC